rnacentral:rRNA from 1 species
UUGAGUGCAGAAGAGGACAGUGGAACUCCAUGUGUAGCGGUGAAAUGCGUAGAUAUAUGGAAGAACACCAGUGGCGAAGGCGGCUGUCUGGUCUGUAACUGACGCUGAGGCUCGAAAGUAUGGGUAGCAAACAGGAUUAGAUACCCUGGUAGUCCAUACCGUAAACGAUGAAUGCUAAGUGUUGGAGGGUUUCCCCCUUCAGUGCUGCAGCUAACGCAUUAAGCAUUCCGCCUGGGGAGUACGGCCGCAAGGCUGAAACUCAAAGGAAUUGACGGGGGCCCGCACAAGCGGUGGAGCAUGUGGUUUAAUUCGAAGCUACGCGAAGAACCUUACCAGGUCUUGACAUACUAUGCAAAUCUAAGAGAUUAGACGUUCCCUUCGGGGACAUGGAUACAGGUGGUGCAUGGUUGUCGUCAGCUCGUGUCGUGAGAUGUUGGGUUAAGUCCCGCAACGAGCGCAACCCUUAUUAUCAGUUGCCAGCAUUAAGUUGGGCACUCUGGUGAGACUGCCGGUGACAAACCGGAGGAAGGUGGGGAUGACGUCAAAUCAUCAUGCCCCUUAUGACCUGGGCUACACACGUGCUACAAUGGAUGGUACAACGAGUUGCGAACUCGCGAGAGUAAGCUAAUCUCUUAAAGCCAUUCUCAGUUCGGAUUGUAGGCUGCAACUCGCCUACAUGAAGUCGGAAUCGCUAGUAAUCGCGGAUCAGCAUGCCGCGGUGAAUACGUUCCCGGGCCUUGUACACACCGCCCGUCACACCAUGAGAGUUUGUAACACCCAAAGUCGGUGGGGUAACCUUUAGGAACCAGCCGCCUAAGGUGGGACAGAUGAUUAGGGUGAAGUCGUAACAAGGUAACCAGGGCG